rnacentral:piRNA from 1 species
UGAUCUGAUGUGUUUCUAGCCUGGUGGAGCC